AACGAACGCUGGCGGCAUGCCUAACACAUGCAAGUCGAACGAGACCUUCGGGUCUAGUGGCGCACGGGUGCGUAACGCGUGGGAACCUGCCCUUAGGUUCGGAAUAACUCCCCGAAAGGGGUGCUAAUACCGGUUAAUGUCUUCGGACCAAAGAUUUAUCGCCUUUGGAUGGGCCCGCGUUGGAUUAGCUAGUUGGUAGGGUAAAAGCCUACCAAGGCGACGAUCCAUAGCUGGUCUGAGAGGAUGAUCAGCCACACUGGGACUGAGACACGGCCCAGACUCCUACGGGAGGCAGCAGUAGGGAAUAUUGGACAAUGGGCGAAGGCCUGAUCCAGCAAUGCCGCGUGAGUGAUGAAGGCCUUAGGGUUGUAAAGCUCUUUUACCCGGGAUGAUAAUGACAGUACCGGGAGAAUAAGCUCCGGCUAACUCCGUG
rnacentral:rRNA from 1 species